rnacentral:rRNA from 1 species
AAGGUUCCGUAGGUGAACCUGCGGAAGGACAUU